UACGUAGGGUGCGAGCGUUAAUCGGAAUUACUGGGCGUAAAGCGUGCGCAGGCGGUUUUGUAAGCCAGAUGUGAAAGCCCCGAGCUUAACUUGGGAAUUGCGCUUGUGACUGGCGUGCUGGAGUGUGGCAGAGGGAGGUGGAAUUCCACGUGUAGCAGUGAAAUGCGUAGAGAUGUGGAGGAACACCGAUGGCGAAGGCAGCCUCCUGGGCCAGCACUGACGCUCAUGCACGAAAGCGUGGGGAACAAACAGG
rnacentral:rRNA from 1 species